UUGAACACUACAAAUAAACAUGAUGCACAAUUAAAGAGUGUUAUUGGAUGCACCCACAAAAAAUGAAACUGAGCAGCUCCUUUUUAAAACCUCAAAUUUACAUACCUCCCAAGUUUCCCUAAUUGGGAGGGAAAGUCCCUAUUUUGGGCCCAAAUCCCUCUGUCCCUCUUUUCUGUCCUAAUGUUCCUCUUUUCUAGGAGCUCCAUAUUGUUGGUGGGUCCAAGUGUAUAACAGAGCUCCCAGUACUAUGUUUUUAAAGGGACACUAUAGUCACCAGAACAACAACAGCUUAUUGUAUUUGUUCUGGUGAGUAGCAUUAUUACCUGCAGGCUUUUUGCCGUAAACACUGUCUUUUCAGAGACAUCAUCAGAAGUGCCAGAGGGCUGUGUUUGGUUGUUCUGGCUCUGCCACUGAUCUGCCUCCUUGACAAGCUCAGCCAAUCCAAUGCUUUAAUUUGGGACAAGCAUUGUGAUUGGCUAAAAUCACCACUUCUGAUGAGGUCAUCCAAUGAGGCAGAUCAAGGGCAGUGCCAGCACUAGUAGACUAGAAUAAAGAUAAUAUUUUACUAUUAUUACAGGGGAUGGGGGGGAGGGGGGGGGAGGAGAUAGUGUUUAACACUGAAUAUAGGGUCAUGAAUACCCUACAUUUCUUUAAACAACAAUAAAUACUUUGUUCAUGUUCUAAGUUACAUUUUAGUUGCAUAAAUGAUUAUUAGUAAGUCAACAAAAAUAUCUCAGAACAGCCCACUCUUGAUCAAACUCCCAAUUAAACUCAGAACAGCCAACCCCUAGUCACACCCUCUCUCACACCACUGAAAUUAAAGUGUCCCUCUGUGUCUAUUUGAAAUGUUGGGAGGUAUGAAUUUCUCCAGUGAUACAGAAAUACUUAAUUCUCUACAAAGUAGCAAAUCAAUAAAAAAAAAAUCCACCUACUUAACCGACUAGUCUGUCAAACAUGCCAUCAUCCCUGUUUUCUCUAUAGACACCAAACAUUCGGGUUCUUCACAGGAGAAAUAUAUGUGACGUUUGUUCUAUUUGGUACCAUUGUGCUGACUCCAUCCGUGUUGUGUGUUAUCUUCUUUAGAGAAUUGAUUUGUGUAAUGUUCAAGCUUUGGAUUUCAUGUGCAUGUAAUUUGCAUACUCAAUACUCUGAGUAAAUUUGUUUUUGUAAAAUAAAACUCCAAACCUCUAAGGUACUUUUCAGGAUGUUGAAUUGCCUUAGGGAUUAGUGUCCCCUGAUUCCAACUUUCUAAAAUUGCCAGUUUCAAGAGAAAUCAUGACUUAUAUAAAGGUGCUAAGUUGCACCCUAAAAGCUG